rnacentral:rRNA from 1 species
GACGAACGCUGGCGGCGUGCUUAACACAUGCAAGUCGAACGCUGAAGCACCAGCUUGCUGGUGUGGAUGAGUGGCGAACGGGUGAGUAAUACGUGAGUAACCUGCCCUUGACUCUGGGAUAAGCCCGGGAAACUGGGUCUAAUACUGGAUGCUACAUGUCACCGCAUGGUGGUGUGUGGAAAGGGUUUACUGGUCUUGGAUGGGCUCACGGCCUAUCAGCUUGUUGGUGAGGUAAUGGCUCACCAAGGCGACGACGGGUAGCCGGCCUGAGAGGGUGACCGGCCACACUGGGACUGAGACACGGCCCGGACUCCUACGGGAGGCAGCAGUGGGGAAUAUUGCACAAUGGGCGAAAGCCUGAUGCAGCGACGCCGCGUGAGGGAAGACGGCCUUCGGGUUGUAAACCUCUUUCAGCAGGGAAGAAGCCACAAGUGACGGUACCUGCAGAAGAAGCGCCGGCUAACUACGUGCCAGCCGCCGCUGUAA